GGACGUGGUAGACGCAGUGGAAGCCGCUGGUGAAGGGAGUGAUGCCCAGCCCUCGGUGUUGAUGCCCCUGAAGAAGGCAACACCUUAUGACUGUUUAUGAAGAAAAG
rnacentral:lncRNA from 1 species